UACGGAGGGUGCGAGCGUUAUCCGGAUUCACUGGGUUUAAAGGGUGCGUAGGUGGGAAUGUAAGUCAGUGGUGAAAUCUCUGAGCUUAACUCAGAAACUGCCAUUGAUACUAUGUUUCUUGAAUUAUCUGGAGGUCAGCGGAAUAUGUCAUGUAGCGGUGAAAUGCUUAGAUAUGACAUAGAACACCAAUUGCGAAGGCAGCUGGCUACAGGUGGAUUGACACUGAGGCAUGAAAGCGCGGGGAUCAAACAGG
rnacentral:rRNA from 1 species